rnacentral:rRNA from 1 species
GACGAACGCUGGCGGCGUGCCUAAUACAUGCAAGUCGAACGAGAAUUGCUUACACCGAGUGCUUGCACUCACCGUGAGGAAUUCGAGUGGCGGACGGGUGAGUAACACGUGGGUAACCUGCCUAUCAGAGGGGGAUAACACUUGGAAACAGGUGCUAAUACCGCAUAACACUGAAAAGCGCAUGCUUUUCAAUUAAAAGGCGCUUCUGGUGUCACUGGUAGAUGGACCCGCGGCGUAUUAGCUAGUUGGUGGGUAACGCCUACCAAGGCAAUGAUACGUAGCCGAGUUGAGAGACUGAUCGGCCACAAUGGGACUGAGACACGGCCCAUACUCCUACGGGAGCAGCAGGUAGGGAAUCUUCCGCAAUGGGCGCAAGCCUGAUGGAGCAACGCCGCGUGCGUGAAGAGGUC